CCAACCAUAGCUCAGCUGGUAGAGCGGAGGACUGUAGAGUAGUGGUGGUGAUCCUUAGGUCGCUGGUUCGAAUCCGGCUGGUUGGA
rnacentral:tRNA from 1 species